GAUGAACGCUGGCGGCGUGCUUAACACAUGCAAGUCGAACGAAGCGCCUUAUUUGAUUUUCUUCGGAACUGAAGAUUUGGUGACUGAGUGGCGGACGGGUGAGUAACGCGUGGGUAACCUACCCUGUACAGGGGGAUAACAAUCAGAAAUGACUGCUAAUACCGCAUAAGACCACAGCACCGCAUGGUGCAGGGGUAAAAACUCCGGUGGUACAGGAUGGACCCGCGUCUGAUUAGCUGGUUGGUGAGGUAACGGCUCACCAAGGCGACGAUCAGUAGCCGGCUUGAGAGAGUGAACGGCCACAUUGGGACUGAGACACGGCCCAAACUCCUACGGGAGGCAGCAGUGGGGAAUAUUGCACAAUGGGGGGAACCCUGAUGCAGCGACGCCGCGUGAGUGAAGAAGUAUCUCGGUAUGUAAAGCUCUAUCAGCAGGGAAGAAAAUGACGGUACCUGACUAAGAAGCCCCGG
rnacentral:rRNA from 1 species